rnacentral:rRNA from 1 species
GAUGAACGCUGGCGGCAGGCCUAACACAUGCAAGUCGAGCGGAUGAGAGGAGCUUGCUCCUUGAUUCAGCGGCGGACGGGUGAGUAAUGCCUAGGAAUCUGCCUGAUAGUGGGGGAUAACGUUCCGAAAGGAACGCUAAUACCGCAUACGUCCUACGGGAGAAAGCAGGGGACCUUCGGGCCUUGCGCUAUCAGAUGAGCCUAGGUCGGAUUAGCUAGUUGGUGAGGUAAUGGCUCACCAAGGCUACGAUCCGUAACUGGUCUGAGAGGAUGAUCAGUCACACUGGAACUGAGACACGGUCCAGACUCCUACGGGAGGCAGCAGUGGGGAAUAUUGGACAAUGGGCGAAAGCCUGAUCCAGCCAUGCCGCGUGUGUGAAGAAGGUCUUCGGAUUGUAAAGCACUUUAAGUUGGGAGGAAGGGCAGUAAGUUAAUACCUUGCUGUUUUGACGUUACCAACAGAAUAAGCACCGGCUAACUUCGUGCCAGCAGCCGCCGUAAAAC